AAAACGUAUCCAUAAAAAAAUAUUAAUUUGCAACUACUCUAUAAUAACAGGUUUGUCUAUACUUGCUCUGGUCCCAUCUUUCGGAGUUUUAUCUACUUUCAAUUUAAGUUUUAACUCAAUUUCUGAUUUUUUUUCUUAAUUUUAUAGAUCCCUUUGGUGGUUUAUUUAUUUAUUUCUGACUCAAAAUCUUGGUUUUUUAUCUGCAAAACAAAAUUCCAAUAUUAUUUUAAUAAAUUACCAUAAAAAUAAAAUAAAAUAUUUAUUAGAAAUUUUUGUAAUUCGAUUUUACCAGGCACAAUUCUGAAAGUUCCUGUAAAUGGAAAACAAUUUCUUCGUCCGUAAAACCCAUUUUUUUUAACAACAUCCACACAAAAUUGGUCUUGAAACUAAUACAGGUUAUUAAACAAUAUCAGACACAAAAAAUAAUGAAUUUUUAUUCUAGAACAUCAUUCGAGAAUUGAUCUUCGUAUUCCAGAUGUACACUAUCAUUCCACAUUCCCUGGUAGACUUAUUUCCUCAUUAAAAUACUCAUCUUAAACACACUUUAAGAUACUUUAACAACAUCCACACAAAAUUGGUCUUGAAACUAAUACAGGUUAUUAAAC
rnacentral:lncRNA from 1 species